rnacentral:piRNA from 1 species
ACCUUUCCUAGAGCUCCAGGGACCGGGGA